rnacentral:rRNA from 1 species
AGCAGCCGCGGUAAUUCCAGCUCCAAUAGCGUAUAUUAAAGUUGUUGCAGUUAAAAAGCUCGUAGUUGAAUUUCGGGACCAAUAUGUCUGUCGUGCCUUCGGUACGUACGGGUAUAAUUGGUUCCUACCUCCUGAUGAACCUUGAUGCCAUUAAUUUGGUGUCUUGGGAACUCAGGACUGUUACCUUGAAAAAAUUAGAGUGUUUAAAGCAGGCAUGCGCUUGAAUACAUUAGCAUGGAAUAAUGAAAUAGGACGUUCGAUUCUAUUUUGUUGGUUUCUAGGAUCGACGUAAUGAUUAAUAGGGAUAGUUGGGGGCAUUAGUAUUCAAUUGUCAGAGGUGAAAUUCUUGGAUUUAUUGAAGACUAACUACUGCGAAAGCAUUUGCCAAGGAUGUUUUCAUUAAUCAAGAACGAAAGUUAGGGGAUCGAAGACGAUCAGAUACCGUCGUAGUCUUAACCAUAAACUAUGCCGACUAGGGAUCGGAUGAUGUUAAUUUUUAAUGACUCAUUCGGCGCCUUAA